CGGGAUGCAGCAGUAGGGAAUCUUCCGCAAUGGACGCAAGUCUGACGGAGCAACGCCGCGUGAGUGACGAAGGUUUUCGGAUCGUAAAACUCUGUUGUGAGGGAAGAACAAGUACCAAGUAACUACUGGUACCUUGACGGUACCUCACCAGAAAGCCACGGCUAACUACGUGCCAGCAGCCGCGGUAAUACGUAGGUGGCAAGCGUUGUCCGGAAUUAUUGGGCGUAAAGCGCGCGCAGGCGGUCCCUUAAGUCUGAUGUGAAAGCCCACGGCUCAACCGUGGAGGGUCAUUGGAAACUGGGGGACUUGAGUGCAGAAGAGGAAAGUGGAAUUCCACGUGUAGCGGUGAAAUGCGUAGAGAUGUGGAGGAACACCAGUGGCGAAGGCGACUUUCUGGUCUGUAACUGACGCUGAGGCGCGAAAGCGUGGGGAGCAAACAGGAUUAGAUACCCGGGU
rnacentral:rRNA from 1 species